CCCUUGGGGGUCCAGUGGCUAAGACUCUGUGCUCCCAAUGCAGUGGGCCCAAGUUCGAUCCCUGGUCAGGGAA
rnacentral:tRNA from 1 species